rnacentral:rRNA from 1 species
AUGCUCGUGCUGGUGGCGCUGGUGGCGGCGGCGAUGGCAACGGGCGGAGCGGCGCAGUGCAACGCCGGGAACCUGGCGGUGUGCGCCUCCCCGAUCGUGAGCGGGACCCCGCCGUCCAAGACGUGCUGCAACAACCUAAAGAGUCAGCGGGGGUGCUUCUGCCAGUUCGCGCACAACCGCGCGUACUCCAGCUACAUCAACAGCCCCAACGCCCGCAAGACCCUCGUCAGCUGCGGCGUCCCCGUACCGAAGUGCUAG